rnacentral:rRNA from 1 species
AUACGUAGGUUGCAAGCGUUGUCCGGAUUUACUGGGUGUAAAGGGCGUGUAGGCGGAGAUGCAAGUUGGGAGUGAAAUCCAUGGGCUUAACCCAUGAACUGCUCUCAAAACUGUAUCCCUUGAGUAUCGGAGAGGCAAGCGGAAUUCCUAGUGUAGCGGUGAAAUGCGUAGAUAUUAGGAGGAACACCAGUGGCGAAGGCGGCUUCCUGGUCUGUAACUGACACUGAGGCGCGAAAGCGUGGGGAGC